rnacentral:lncRNA from 1 species
GGAGAGAGCAAAAGAGGGCCUUAGGCUCUUGCUUCAUCUCAGACUUCAUAAAUCCUUCUGACUGGUUGACACUUUUCCUAUAAAGAGACGCAUGAUGAGAUGGUUCUUCUGACGAUCUGCCAGGUUGUUGAGAAGGUUAAAUGAAAGAACUGCUCACCAGGACAGACUACAUGAUUUGCAGGUCCCAGUACAAAAGGCAAAUGUAGGGCCCUCUGUUCAAAAAUCACUAAGAAUUUCAAGAGUGGAGUUAAAACAAGCGUCGGGCCCUUCUGUGCAACUGCACGGGUUGCACACCCAGCUGGCGGCGGCUGGGCGCUGGAAGCAGCAGAAGCGCUGGCACACAGUGGGCGCUAAAUAAAUGCUCAUGCACCUUCAUGACAGCCCACGGUUAUCACUGACCCCCCUCGCUGUCACUUGUCCCUGACCCGAGGACAAGACCCGGAACUGCGCCCGCGGUGGAGCCCGGCGGUGAGGACCGACCUCCGGCCCCGCCGUCCCCAGUCGCUCAGGCCCGGCCGAGCCUCCGCCUGGCGGGAUGGGGCCGCUCGGCCGCCGCGCCGCACCGCCCAACGGGACAACUUCAGGAGGAUCAGGGUCUGCCCGGCGCCCCCCGGGCUCGUCUCGGGGGCCCGGACGCCUCGCAGCCCGGCCGAGGACUCCGGGUCCCGCAGGCGCCGCCAGCGUCCAGGGCCCCGCUGGCCCGCCGCAGUGUUUACCGGUUGCCCGAGGAGACGCGCCCGCGCGCACCGCCGGCUCCCGCGACUGCCGGUUUGAGCGCGCCGCGGGACCCCGGCCGCCAUGAGCUCCUCCAGCCCGCGGCGCCCGCCGCCCACUGGCCCCGCCGCCUUCGGCGCCUCGUCGCCCGCGCCCGAGGUACCGUCGCAGCCCGCGGGCGCGCGCCGGGGCGGCGCCGGUGGUCGGUCCCCUCCCGGGAGAGCCCCGGGGAGGCUCGGCCCGGGCUGCGCGCGACGCUCCUCGCCGGCGAACUCUCCUCUCCGUAGUCCGGGUGGAUCGUGGUGGGAACGUCCCCGCGUCGGAGAGGGACUUGGUAUUGCC